UACGGAGGGGGCUAGCGUUGUUCGGAAUUACUGGGCGUAAAGCGCACGUAGGCGGACCUACAAGUCGGGGGUGAAAUCCCGGGGCUCAACCCCGGAACUGCCUCCGAAACUGUGGGUCUGGAGGUCGAGAGAGGCGAGUGGAAUUCCGAGUGUAGAGGUGAAAUUCGUAGAUAUUCGGAGGAACACCAGUGGCGAAGGCGGCUCGCUGGCUCGAUACUGACGCUGAGGUGCGAAAGCGUGGGGAGCAAACAGG
rnacentral:rRNA from 2 species